GCAGGCUCUAAGCAAAGUAAUAUCUGCCCUGCAAGAACAUGCUGAUCCCAGUUCAGUUCGCCUAAACUCUCCCGUCCAUGGGUAUGAACCAGGGGACUUAGUGUGGGUAAAGCUGUGGGGAGACAGAGGGCUGGAACCCAGAUGGGAUGGCCCCAAGGAAGUAAUACUAACUACCCCAACUGCCUUAAAGAUCGAAGGACACGACUCCUGGAUCCAUUGGAGUNGGGUCAAACCUGCUGCUCAGGAAAAAUGGGUGUCUACUACCAUUCCCUCGGAAGGACAACAACUGAAACUUCGGCUAAGGCGGGUCACGACGGGAGAAGCCUCCUCGGGACCGGCAACCGAGAGAGNGAAUCAAUGAAGGUCGAUGGCACCCCUGACCUGGAAAGUGGGGAACGCCACCCUUCCAACACGUCGAAUAUGGGCACCCCCUUCAGUUCAUGGACAUGGGGCCCCCAACUGAAUGAAAUAACUCACCNCUUUGUUGUCACUGCUUUACUAAUAUUAAUAUUGCUUGUAUUGCCUUACCUAUUUACGCCUUNUAANGCUGCUUUACCCCCCGUGUGUAGCAAAUGCAUAAAAACAGUUCGAACAGGGAGCAAAGUUGGCCAAACCCUAGAAUAUAAGUCCAAGCUGUACUGCGAAGGACAAGUUAUACAGGGAUGUACAUUCAGGAAUAUCUCUUACGCUGUAUGUAAUACCAGCAAAAAGAUGGAAUGUUUUGACCCAAAGCCCCCAGCCACUAGAACAUAUAUAGUUAUUAAAAAGGGCCAAGAGGUAAUUAAUCGGACAUUAUUUAGACCUGGACAUCCCGUAUCCCUGAUCUUUGAUGCAUGCAAAAUAGUGUCAGGGGGCACGCCUGGGUGCNGGAACAUGGAAUGGAUCCGAUAUCACAUACAGUAUACCAAGUAUAUAUGUUAUGACCGGUGCUCUGAAGCAUGGAACAGCAUCAGGUGGGCUUCACGGGGAACCUGGGGGAGGAAGGAUAAGUGGGCUGAAUUGAAGAACAUUCCAGUGACCACCGAUUGUGCCUGGGAUCGGUGUAACCUGGUCAAC
rnacentral:lncRNA from 1 species